rnacentral:rRNA from 1 species
ACGGCUCAGUAACACGUCGUUAAUCUGCCCUUAGGUCAGGGAUACCCUCGGAAAACUGAGGUUAACACCUGAUAAGAGAUUAUGUCUGGAAUGAUUUAUCUCCUAAAUUCGAGCCUAAGGAUGAGACGGCGGCGGAUUAGGCUGUUGGCGGGGUAAUGGCCCACCAAACCAAAGAUCCGUACGGGCCUUGAGAGAGGUAGCCCGGAGAAGGACACUGAGAUACUGGUCCUAGCCCUACGGGGUGCAGCAGGCGCGAAACCUUUACAAUGCACGCAAGUGUGAUAAGGGGAUCCCAAGUGCUUAUGCUUUGCAUAGGCUUUUGCCAAGACUAAAUCUCUUGGCGAAUAAGUGGUGGGCAAGACUGGUGCCAGCCGCCGCGGUAACACCAGCGCCACAAGUGGCAAUCACAUUUAUUGGGCCUAAAGCGUCCGUAGCCGGUCUAGCAAAUCUUUUGUGAAAUCGUCAGGCUUAACUUGACGGCUUGCAGAAGACACUACUAGACUCGGGACCGGGAGGAGUCAGAAGUAUUCUAGGGGGACCGGUAAAAUGGUAUAAUCCCUAGAGGACUACCGAUGGCGAAGGCAUCUGACUAGAACGGAUCCGACGGUGAGGGACGAAAGCCAGGGGAGCGAACCGGAUUAGAUACCCGAGUAGUCCUGGCCGUAAACGCUGCGAGUUAGGUGUUGCACAAACUACGGGUUUGUGCGGUGUCGAAAAGAAGUUGUUAAACUCGCCGCCCGGGAAGUACGGUCGCAAGACUGAAACUUUAAGGAAUUGGCGGGGGAGCACA